GACGAACGCUGGCGGCGUGCUUAACACAUGCGAGUCGAACGGAAAGGCCCUGCUUUUGUGGGGUGCUCGAGUGGCGAACGGGUGAGUAACACGUGAGUAACCUGCCCUUGACUUUGGGAUAACUUCAGGAAACUGGGGCUAAUACCGGAUAGGAGCUCCUGCUGCAUGGUGGGGGUUGGAAAGUUUCGGCGGUUGGGGAUGGACUCGCGGCUUAUCAGCUUGUUGGUGGGGUAGUGGCUUACCAAGGCUUUGACGGGUAGCCGGCCUGAGAGGGUGACCGGCCACAUUGGGACUGAGAUACGGCCCAGACUCCUACGGGAGGCAGCAGUGGGGAAUAUUGCACAAUGGGCGGAAGCCUGAUGCAGCAACGCCGCGUGCGGGAUGACGGCCU
rnacentral:rRNA from 1 species